rnacentral:lncRNA from 1 species
UAGAAGGGUGGCCAGUUCAGGUGGUCAGAUGAGUGCAAGGCGAGCUUCCAGAAGCUUAGGACAGCUUUGACUACGACACCGGUAUUGGUUUUGCCCACGGUAUCAGGGCCUUAUACUAUUUAUUGUGAUGCUUCCCGUAUUGGGCUUGGCGUAGUAUUGAUGCAGAAUGACAGGGUUAGAGCAUAUGUUUCGAGGCAGUUGAAGAU